rnacentral:rRNA from 1 species
CAGGCCUAACACAUGCAAGUCGAACGAAGCCUUCGGGCUUAGUGGCGCACGGGUGCGUAACGCGUGGGAAUCUGCCCCUGGGUUCGGAAUAACAGUUAGAAAUGACUGCUAAUACCGGAUGAUGACGUAAGUCCAAAGAUUUAUCGCCCAAGGAUGAGCCCGCGUAGGAUUAGCUAGUUGGUGAGGUAAAGGCUCACCAAGGCGACGAUCCUUAGCUGGUCUGAGAGGAUGAUCAGCCACACUGGGACUGAGACACGGCCCAGACUCCUACGGGAGGCAGCAGUGGGGAAUAUUGGACAAUGGGCGAAAGCCUGAUCCAGCAAUGCCGCGUGAGUGAUGAAGGCCUUAGGGUUGUAAAGCUCUUUUACCCGGGAUGAUAAUGACAGUACCGGGAGAAUAAGCUCCGGCUAACUCCGUGCCAGCAGCCGCGGUAAU